CGACCUUGCAGUAAAUUAGAAUUGUCCAGAUUUGCAACAGAUUACUGAAAACAUUAAGUAACAAUUGUGACAGAUGGGAUAAAUGUGGCGGUUAGCAAAAUAGGUUUUCUACAGAUAUUAAAAAAAUAAAGAAGGUUUUUGAAGAAAAGUCAUUGAUUAAACUGCGAUGAAUUAGUCAGGUACAAUUAAUUGUUGAACAAAUGGGUUAAUCAAUUGGAUAUCAAUAAGCUGGUAAACGUGGUGGAACAGUACUUAAUAUCUGAACACAAGAAAGAUUAUGAUAUCUGCAUGGUAGUCUACCAAGAGGCCAAUUGAUCAAUGUAACUGACUACUGUUAACAAACUCAUCAAGUUCCUGAAAAACUUACGCAAAUACAGAAAAGUCGUUCUGCUUCCUCGUAAAAACGCAAGACCACAUAUUAAAGACUCAAUGUUAAAUGGGAAGUACCUCUUCCAUCAUGUUCCAUCAGUACAGAUAUUUCUUCAUGUGACUAUCAUUUAUUUUUGCCAUUGUCUAAAUUUUAAGCUCCUGUUUACCUUUGAGAAAAACCAGGUACGUUUAUGAUGUUCAAACACAGAUAAAAACGAUUGUUUUACAAAGAAAUAUUACAAGAAUAACAUGUGUCUAAAAUUUAUUGGAAACAUACAUGUGCUGAAAGCCGGACUGAAACACAAACAUUUAAGAAAUUCGGACGUGUACUGUUCGAGGGUUUUAGGCAACUCGAAAAACAAAUGGAUCAGCAAGAAGUUAAUUGACUUGCAGAAGGAAAAUUGCUUCUCACACACCACAGUUGCAAUUGUAAAAAUGAAAGUGAAAAAUUAAUUAAAUCGGCUGAAUUCUUAAUGAUUGAGACGGUGGAACAAUGCUCAAUGAUAUUCAUGCAAUUAAAAACAUUCUUGUAUCGUUUUAUCUGUGGGUAAUUUUAAUUGAAAUUUGCUUCUUGUAUUAUAAUCAGCACGCAGAUAAUUAUUUAAGUAAUUAAAGUACAGGUGCAAUGCAAAUAAUUUUAUUGUGUCAGUGCAUGACAUGCAGAGUCAAA